rnacentral:rRNA from 1 species
GACGAACGCUGGCGGCGUGCUUAACACAUGCAAGUCGAACGGAAAGGCCCUGCUUUUGUGGGGUGCUCGAGUGGCGAACGGGUGAGAACACGUGAGUAACCUGCCCUUGACUUUGGGAUAACUUCAGGAAACUGGGGCUAAUACCGGAUAGGAGCUCCUGCUGCAUGAUGGGGGUUGGAAAGUUUCGGCGGUUGGGGAUGGACUCGCGGCUUAUCAGCUUGUUGGUGGGGUAGUGGCUUACCAAGGCUUUGACGGGUAGCCGGCCUGAGAGGGUGACCGGCCACAUUGGGACUGAGAUACGGCCCAGACUCCUACGGGAGGCAGCAGUGGGGAAUAUUGCACAAUGGGCGGAAGCCUGAUGCAGCAACGCCGCGUGCGGGAUGACGGCCUUCGGGUUGUAAACCGCUUUCGCCUGUGACGAAGCGUGAGUGACGGUAAUGGGUAAAGAAGCACCGGCUAACUACGUG